CAAAGUAGAGCUUGAUAGUAAGUGUUCCAUUUACAUUGGAAAGUUUCUGUGCGAAUCAGAUAUUUUGA
rnacentral:tRNA from 1 species